rnacentral:lncRNA from 1 species
UCUCUAAACCUUCAUUAAUUUUAUUAAGUCCAACAACUGGAAACAACAGAAGAAAGACUACAAAAUUCCUCCAAAAGUGCUAUAUAAAAACACCAAAGAGGAAAAGAAAAGAGCCCUGCUCUUGGAAUAGAUAAAUCACCUCAAUCUAAGCUUCAAUUGGAAACUCAUGGUAUCUAUAGUAUGAUCUUGAACUAUUUUAAAGGAAAGAAAGUAGAAAUCCAACAAGAAAGAAAAAUUUACUCUCCAUGGCGACCUGGUUGAAUUAGGAGAAGCUAUAAGUAUUAUUGCAGGACAAUCGAUUGGAAAAUUGACAUAAUAGAAGUAAGUGGAUCAAUCAAGUAGCCGAAUUCUAAAGAAAAAUCAUUAUUGAUGGUCCAAGACCAUACAUAUUGCACGAGAUAAGGCAAACGAGAUCAUCCUCUUUCCCUGGCCGAACAGCAAAAUAAGAAAGAAUUCGACUAAAAAAGCUGGGGCAAUUUCUUCCAUUCCUGGUGGAAUUUCAUGCCAUAAGACCAAUAAAUUGAUUUGAGAUCUCGCUAUCAACUUCUUGGCCAAAAAGUAAUCUUUCUCAAUAGACCAGGCAAUAAAGUCAACCCAGCUUUUCAGGUUUAAGGAUAAUGGAGGAAAGUAGUUACAAAUUUAUGUCUGGCCGCAGGAUAUCUUUCCGGGGGAUUGAAGCUUCAAUGGUCUGUGUGCGCUUCUUCUUUGAGCUCCCAUAUUAUUGUGGAAAAAAUACAGCUUAACAUAACAAAAGGUUUCGCCAAUUUAUAUCUAUAAAUUCUGAGCAGAAACCAAACGCAUUGAUGAACUUUACCUCCCUUGGCAAUCUGAACACGUCAUCUUCUUCUUUGAUGUUGAGUUGUAAUUCAGCUUUUGCUGGCCUUUUCCUUAUCAAUAGCCUUUGCUUACUUCUCAAUAUCAGAUGCAUCACAAUCUAAUUCUACAUCUGAAUUUUCCUUAAAAUGGAAAACUACAAUUACGUUAAGAUAAUACCUAUUGAAACUCCUAGGAUCCUAACGUGGCAAGGACCACAGUAUCUUCAUCUUCACGUCCUUAGAGAAUAUCAUUAGCAAAUAGGUCAUCUCCAUCUGAUGAUAUUUCGGAGUCAAAAUGGAUUCCAUGUCCUUCUUCAUCAAAAGUCACAGAGAAGGUCCUACUUUUCCUUUAGUUUUACCAAUGGAAGUUCUCUUUUGGUUCUUUCUGGGAAGAGGAUUUCGUGCCCUUGUGACCUAAUUGAGUUUAGGAGCAGCCACUGAGCUAAACAGAAGCAAAAAAUAUACCUAGCGUAUGUAAGGAAGGAAUUGAGCUAAUCUUCUUUGUCCCUAAUAAAAUGCUAGGAUCUAAAUGCAGAUAAAUACAUUUGGACAUAGCAAAACACUCUUUAGGGCUGUAUGAACAAGCCUGUCAAAAAAAUAUAAUGCUCUGACAAAUUAUAAAGAGAAUAGAAAAAUAAUUUUUCAGAAAUUUACUAAAAAGGAACAAGGUUUGGAACUGCAACUCUGCAAUAUUUUGGUAGGUUGUGAAAUGGGACUGUGGAGAGUGGAGGGCUGGGGUCGCUACAGGGGUCUUACUGGCGAUUUUGUUUCCCAAUGUGCUGGAGUAGAUAAAGCUUCAUGAGCAAAAUCCAACUAUUCAAUAAAUCAACCUAAUCUUGAAAGACUUGCAAUGAUCAUCAAUAUCAACAUCUGCCAAACCUUCCAACAAAAGUCUGCCAAAUAUAGCAUUUGUUAGAAGAAUGAAUAACCAUGUCAUGAAUCUAAAUCCUCUAAAAUAGAAAUAAUUGUUAACAUAAUGAAACUUGUCUCUUAACUACAAAGACAUGAAAGGAAGAUUAAACACUCUAUGAUCAUCGAUUAAACUUGCUAUUGCCAACUGUGACUCAUGCUACAAAACAAGAUAUUACUCGAUUAUAAAUUAG